CGGCUCGUCGUCGUCGGCGACGUCGCGCCGCGCCAAGCCGAGGAAGAAGUGAAACAAACGGGGUGACAUAUAAAAAACCAUACAUACCUUCCCGGUGGUGCUGCAUCAUCUGUUACUGUAAAGCCGUGUGAGCCAUGGAUCUGGGGCAUGUCUAUACACUCGAGUGACACAUGAGUUUGUACUGCUUAUAAACACAUAUAUAUUUGUCAGGUUAG
rnacentral:misc_RNA from 1 species